rnacentral:lncRNA from 1 species
CCUUUUAGAUCCUUUUGGGGGAAACAAAAAUCUUUUAAAAACCAAAUUAAUUUUCUUUUUUUAUUAGGUUUUUAGAAGAUACGAUAAUUGUGAAAGAUCAAGAUCUGUUGCCGUUGUUGUUAUUCAUGGCUACUACUGUUGCUCCUGCUGUAGAAAGUAUCCUUUCACAAAAUAGCGAUCUGGGUAUUGUUUAAUUCCCUUGUUUCUCGUCUGGAUCGAAUUUGGUUUCUGUUAAUUUUUGGUUCUUAAUUUCGUAGAUCCGUGUCAAAAUUUAGGUUUUUACGCGUUUAAAUUACGGUUUUCAUGGUGACUUGUUCGUUUGUGAAGAAGUUGUUUUCUUGGGAAGUUUGUGUUGUUCAGAAUUAUUGUAAUUUGUUUGUCGCUACGUGGUCUUGUUUAUUUUUGGUUUCUUCUAAAUGAAUUGAUGAGUGUUUGUUUUUAUUCUAGUUGGGAUUAGGGUUGUUGGUUGCUCGUGUGGACUACAGUAUGGUAGUUAUAUUGUUUUCAACAGGGAUCUUGAUUUUACUGUUCAAACAUUGAAUUCAAAAUUAUAUGCUUGUUAUUGGACUGUAGUUUAAGCAUUGCGAUUUAUAAGUUGAGGUUGUUUGUAAAUGGAAUUUUGUAAAUUGAAGCAUGUAUGAUUGUCUUGAUAUUGGCUUUUGGCUAGCAAAUUUGUUUCCUUUACUUUUUUCUUCCAAUAGAAGCAUCAGAUUUGCUGCAGAAAUUGUCUUUAGAUUCGCAGACCAAGUCUCUUGAAAUUUCUGAGCAUACCAAGAAGGUAUGUUCACACAUUGAGUUGGUGCUAAUUUUGGCUAUUGUUCACUUUUUUGGGACUGUCUUUAAUCUUUAUGAUGGAUGGAAACUAAUAUGUUUAUGUUUGAUUGAAUUUGUUCAUACAGCCCUCAGCUAAUCAGUAUGGGUCUGUUGAUUCUGUUAAUGCUGCUGCAAAUGGUCAGAUCCCUUCAGAGCGUUCUGGAACUCCAUUUCUGAAUGAUUUCAUGGACCCGAAUAUGUGCUAUGUUCCCAAUGGUUAUCCCUCAACUGCUUUCUACUAUGGGGGUAAGUGGUGAGCUUUGGUCUGCGGGAUUGUCUAGUUUGGAGAAAUCCAAAUUUGUUAGUUGGUAUAUUAACUGGUUAAUGUUAUUAUGUCGCUAUUAGAUGUGGCAUUGACCUGGUUAUAAACUCUUGCAGGGUAUGAUGGAAAUGUUGGUGAGUGGGAUGAUUAUACAAGAUAUGUAAGUCAAGAUGGAGUUGACAUGACUUCUGUAAGUUAUUAUGCUUCAACAAUGAUUGGAUGGGUUGUUUUUUGCAAGUAUAUAUUGCGGUCUAAUGAUUUGUUACGUUGUUUUGGUAUUCUUGCAGGGAGUGUAUGGAGACAAUGGGUCUCUUAUGUAUCACCAUGGCUAUGGGUAUGCACCCUAUCCGCCCUAUUCACCGGCAACAUCACCAGUUCCAACCAUGGGAACUGAUGGUCAGCUUUAUGGACCUCAGCACUACCAGUAUCCACACUACUUCCAGCCAAUUACUCCAACUAGUAGUCCAUACUCCCCAAGCCCUGUCGCUCCUACACCUGGGGAUAUUCCCACCUCUGUAGCUGCUGAUCAGAAGCCAUUGCCUGUAGAAAGCACCAAUGGGAAAUCCAAUGGUGUUGCCAAUGCGGGAGGUGUGAAGGGGAAUAAUGGUUCAGCUCCAUUUAAACCAACAUAUCAGCCCUUUAAUUCAAACAAUACAUAUGGAAGGGGUAGUUUGCCUGGACGAGGGCCUGCUUCUGGAUAUCAAGAUCCAAGGUGUAAUCUUGAUGGGAUGAGGUCUCCAAUUCCAUGGUUGGAUGGCCCCGUAAUUUCAGAUGCUAGGCCAGUUGCAAGCAACACCUUUAAUUCUUCAAUUUCAAACGUCAAUAAUGUUGCAUCUUCCAGAAAUCAGAACUACCGUCCGAAUUCUCAUUACAUGGUAUGCAUGAGUUGCCUUAUCUGCUUUUUAAUUAUGGUUUUUGUAUCAUGAAUCAAUUAGAAUAAUAUAAUGCCAGAUAUUUGAUUAUGUUGACUUGUGUUGUGAGAAAGUGUUGAUAUGAAUAAAUGUUACCGUUCCUUCACAAUUGAUAUUAAUUUGAGCCUCUGCUGUUGUGAUGAAUGUUUUGUGGUGGACAAAAAUUGAUGGUGGACAAAAGUUGAUGUUAGAUCAUUUUAUGCACAGAAAUAUUCAACACUUUAUUUAGCUAUCUCUGAAAGUUUUCUUUUCUCUUCUCCACAGGGUUUGCACCAUCCUAGACCGAUGUCUGGCAUGGGCGCUGCACAGGGUUUCAUGAAUAUGAAUAGGAUGUAUCCUAACAAGUUAUACGGUCAGUAUGGUAACACAUUUAGAUCUGGGGUGGGGUUUGGCUCCAAUGGCUAUGAUUUGCGAACAAAUGGUCGUGGAUGGUUGUCUGUUGAUGGGAAGUAUAAAUCCAGGGGACGUGGCAAUGGUUAUUUUGGUUAUGGUAAUGAGAACAUGGAUGGAUUGAAUGAGCUUAAUAGGGGACCUAGAGCCAAGGGAGCAAAAAACCAAAAGGGUUCAGCACCCAAUGCUUUACCAGUCAAAGAGCAGAAUGUGCUAACAAAUGGGACCGCUGAGGAUGAGAAUGAUAAGAUUAGUUUGAGUCCUGACAGAGAUGAAUACAAUAAAGCAGAUUUCCCAGAAGAGUACACUGAUGCUAAAUUCUUUGUCAUCAAAUCGUACAGUGAGGAUGAUGUCCAUAAAAGUAUCAAGUACAGUGUUUGGGCCAGCACCCCCAAUGGCAACAAGAAGCUUGAUGCUGCUUACCAGGAGGCUCAACAGAAGUCUCGCAGCUGCCCUGUAUUUCUUCUCUUUUCGGUGAGAAUCUGAUUUAACUAAUCUAAUCUUAUUUAUGUUAUUUUCUAUAUUUCCAUGGUAUUUACUUAUUGGUCUUGAAUUCUUUCUUAGGUUAACACAAGUGGACAGUUUGUUGGCCUUGCGGAGAUGGCUGGACCGGUUGAUUUUAACAAAAACGUGGAGUACUGGCAACAAGACAAAUGGACUGGCUGUUUUCCGGUGAAGUGGCACAUUGUCAAGGAUGUACCAAAUAGUUUGUUGAAGCACAUUACUCUCGAGAAUAAUGAGAACAAGCCUGUCACUAACAGUAGGGACACUCAAGAGGUAAUUAAAUUUUUGUAAUCUUAUCCCUUGCUAUUAUGUCAUUGUUCUUUAUUUAUUUUAAACAGCAAGCUUUGAUGGUGUCUUGCAGAUCAAGUUAGAGCAGGGACUUAAAUUGAUCAAAAUAUUCAAGGAUCACCCAAGUAAAACGUGCAUUCUGGAUGAUUUUGGGUUUUAUGAGACUCGCCAGAAAACCAUUCAGGAAAAGAAGGCUAAACAACAGCAGUUCCAGAAACAGGCAAGUUACUUCCCAUUAAAUUGGUUUAAUGUCUUGUAUUCUUUCCAAUUUAGAUAUGGUGAAAUAUUUUGCUGAAGAAGCCUAAUUUUGCUUGUAUGUGGUUGAUUUUGGAAACGCUGCAGGUAUGGGAAGGAAAGCCUGCUGAGGAGAAGAAAGAAUUGGCUAAUGGGGAACUAAAGACACAGAAGUCAUCGGAGGUUGCCUCUGAUUUGGUCGAAGAGCGUACUACAACAGUUCAGAGUAAUGGGGACCUAAGACUCUCUGAGAAUGGAUCAGUUGCAAAAACUGGAGAUGCCCACAAGGGAAGUAAACCAGUUGUAGUUUCAGAGAAGGUUAUAUUGGCAAAUGGGGUUGCAAAUGGUUGUUAGGCUUAGCUGCACAGGAAGGCGGUCUGAUUUUAUUGGAGCUCAUUGUGAGGAGUUCUGUCAGAAGUUUUGCUGGUUUCAGACAUCGUAUAGAAAACUUCUGGCCAGUUCUAUGUAUGACUCAGGCCGCCUUAUUGGAUCUGCCCUGCUGCUUUAAAGUCAAUAAUUCAUUGAGGGAUGGGAUUUCAUGUUGUGAGUUCAAAG